rnacentral:rRNA from 1 species
GACGAACGCUGGCGGCGUGCUUAACACAUGCAAGUCGAACGCAGUGGCGAACGGGUGAGUAACGCGUAAUCAACCUGCCCUUCAGAGGGUGACAACAGUUGGACACGACUGCUCAUACCGCAUCCUGAAGGCGGGACUUGCGUCUGAUUCGCUAGUUGGAGGGGUAACGGCCCACCAAGGCGAUGAUCAGUAGCCGGUCGGAGAGGAUGAACGGCCACAUUGGGACUGAGACACGGCCCAGACUCCUACGGAAGGCAGCAGUGGGGAAUCUUCCGCAAUGGACGAAAGUCUGACGGAGCAACGCCGCGUGAGUGAUGACGGCCUUCGGGUUGUAAAGCUCUGUUAAGCGGGACGCGGUACCGGAAUAGAAAGCCACGGCUAACUACGUGCAAGCAGCCGCGGUAAUU